UACGUAGGGUGCGAGCGUUAAUCGGAAUUACUGGGCGUAAAGUGUGCGCAGGCGGCCGAGCAAGUCGAGUGUGAAAGCCCCGAGCUUAACUUGGGAACUGCGCUCGAAACUACUUGGCUAGAGUGUGGCAGAGGGAGGUGGAAUUCCACGUGUAGCGGUGAAAUGCGUAGAGAUGAUGGAGGAACACCGAUGGCGAAGGCAGCCUCCUGGGCCAACACUGACGCUGAG
rnacentral:rRNA from 1 species